rnacentral:rRNA from 1 species
UACGUAGGGUGCGAGCGUUGUCCGGAAUUAUUGGGCGUAAAGAGCUCGUAGGCGGUCUGUCGCGUCUGGUGUGAAAACUCGAGGGCUUAACCCCUGAGCUUGCAUCGGGUACGGGCAGACUAGAGUGCGGGUAGGGGAGACUGGAAUUCCUGGUGUAGCGGUGAAAUGCGCAGAUAUCAGGAGGAACACCGGUGGCGAAGGCGGGUCUCUGGACAGUUCCUGACGCUGAGGCACGAAGGCCAGGGGAGGCAAACGGG